CGGUGAGGCAACUUGUCAGGUUAAUUCCGAUAACGGACGAGACUCUCACAAACUUCGACGAAAUUGGAGUAGGACAGUGCGAGUCAAUCGCAAGGAAGUUGGGAGCUAUAACA
rnacentral:rRNA from 1 species